AACGAACGCUGGCGGCAGGCUUAACACAUGCAAGUCGAACGGUUGUAGCAAUACAGCAGUGGCAGACGGGUGAGUAACACGUGGGAACCUUCCUAGGGGUACGGAACAACUCAGGGAAACUUGAGCUAAUACCGUAUACGUCCGUGAGGAGAAAGAUUUAUCGCCCUUAGACGGGCCCGCGUCGGAUUAGCUAGUUGGUGGGGUAACGGCCUACCAAGGCGACGAUCCGUAGCUGAUCUUAGAGGAUGAUCAGCCACACUGGGACUGAGACACGGCCCAGACUCCUCCGGGAGGCAGAAGUGGGGAAUCUUGGACAAUGGGCGCAAGCCUGAUCCAGCCAUGCCGCGUGAGUGAAGAAGGUCUUCAGAUUGUAAAGCUCUUUUGCCAGGGACGAUAAUGACGGUACCUGGAGAAUAAGCCCCGGCAAACUUCGUGCCAGCAGCCGCCGUAACAC
rnacentral:rRNA from 1 species